rnacentral:rRNA from 1 species
CCUACGGGAGGCUGCAGUGAGGAAUAUUGGUCAAUGGACGUGAGUCUGAACCAGCCAAGUCGCGUGAAGGAUGACUGCCCUAUGGGUUGUAAACUUCUUUUAUAUGGGAAUAAAACGUUCCACGUGUGGCAUUUUUUAUGUACCAUAUGAAUAAGGAUCGGCUAACUCCGUUCCAGCCGCCGCGGGAAUACGGCGGAUCCGAGCGUUAUCCGGGUUUAUUGGGUUUAAAGGGAGCGUAGGUGGAUUGUCAAGUCAGUUGUGAAAGUUUGCGGCUCAACCGUAAAAUUGCAGUUGAAACUGGCAGUCUUGAGUACAGUAGAGGUGGGCGGAAUUCGUGGUGUAGCGGUGAAAUGCUUAGAUAUCACGAAGAACUCCGAUUGCGAAGGCAGUUCACUGGACUGCAACUGACACUGAGGCUCGAAAGUGUGGGUAUCAAACAGGAUUAGAUACCCGAGUAGUC